CUACCAGCCAAAAGUUUUCCAGCGAGUGAGAAAAACAGCCUGGCUCGGCUGCCCUCUCCCCGGGUAACAGGAUUGCUGACAGUUCGGGUCCACGUGACGGCCUAGAAAAGAGGCUCAGGCUGAUGAAAACCGAAGAAAUCUUCUUCGGAGUUUUCCUUUCUGAAUGUCAAUGGCUGAGUCAGUGCGUUGCUGAGCGGGGAAGGAAGUCACAGUCACACAGAGUGACUCAUUCAACGCUGUUCGCUCAGGCAGACGGAUAAAAAGUUUUAGCGAAAGCAGUAACAAUCUCCUUUAAAUACUAGCACAGUAAGGAAAUUCUUCUCUUUCAGGCUGAAUGCCAUCCACACAAAAGAGCUCCUGUUGACAUCUCAUUUACAAUCUCCCCCAGGACACAGACAAGACCAUUUCAAUAAACCCAGCUCAGAAACACCUAUUGUUCAAAAUCUUCAACUAGCAACAGGCUACCACCACUCCCUAUUGUUUUGUAAAAUAAAAGAUUUAGAAGGGGAAGGAUUGGGGCUGUGGAAGCUCUGAAAAGAGGUAGGGGAAAAAGUCCCUUUGACUCGAGGCUGUCAGAGUGCACAGGAAGAAUAAAGUUGAUGAAUUUCCAUUUUCAUAAGAAGUGCAUAGGAAUGCCCGUUAAGCUUCUGAACUAGUGAUUGGGAAUUCUAAAUUUGAUGCCAACUUUGUGUGUAAAGAAGCUAAUUCCUGCCAACUUGUUUGCGAAGUGGAAAGCCGGAGACUGUACUCACCCUCUUCUCAGCCUUACAGAAGCCCAGAUAGCAGCACAAGCAAACGCACCAGAUCCUAUUAGCUCCUUUCUGGAGGAUCACAGCAACUAACUGACUCCCGAUUCCUCGAACUACCGGUUGUGACUUGUUAAUGGGACAUGAAAUCCAUUUUUGAAAAUGAAACAGCUUGAGAAGUGUCAGAGUGCACCAAACAAAGGAACAGGUCUGUCUUGUCUCUGCUUCCACACUGCUGUACACGCUUAAAGCAAGAGUGGAGAGUGGAAGAUCCUGGACAGAUCCUGUCACUCCUGCGGACGGGUCUGCCUUCAGGAUAAGUGCUGACUCGAGGGCUUUAAAGAUUCCAAAGAACUUGGUUCCCCACGCACCUUCGAGGUCUCAGAACUCUACAUCCUCCUGCCCACUCUUACUUUUAGUUAUUAAAACCAUUAAGUUCCCUGGUCUUUGCAGAUGGAAUUUCCCCUUUAGGGACAUGCUUUCCUCCUCUUUCCCCUUCAGGUAUCGUAGGGGUCACCUCUGCCAGGAUGACUUCUGGAAUGUUCUAAAUGACUCCCCCAGUUCUUAUUAGAACACUGUACUUUUUAUCUGACAAAGCACUUAGUACAUUAUAACUAUCUUCUCAAUUCCCUAUUAUUUAAGCUCCAAGUGGGCAUUCAGUAAAUAUUGUGUAAAUAUUUGCAUCGAAUGUUUCACAUAGCUCAACAUUUCCUUUCUACAUACCAAUUUGAAUAGUUUAUUGUAAAGUAUCAUCUCCAUUUUUCAAAGCUUUUGUGUUCAUUUUUUUACACUUCAAUAUCUCCUGUUCAUUUGCUUUUCAAACACUGAUUAAUGUGAAAAUUAACUGGACUUUUGAAAAUCAAAGUAAUAAA